GAUGAAGAACGUAGCAAAAUGCGAUAAGUAAUGUGAAUUGCAGAAUUCAGUGAAUCAUCGAAUCUUUGAACGCACAUUGCGCCCGCUGGUAUUCCGGCGGGCAUGCCUGUUCGAGCGUCAUUUCAACCCUCAAGCUCAGCUUGGUGUUGGGACUCGCGGUAACCCGCGUUCCCCAAAUCGAUUGGCGGUCACGUCGAGCUUCCAUAGCGUAGUAAUCAUACACCUCGUUACUGGUAAUCGUCGCGGCCACGCCGUAAAACCCCAACUUCUGAAUGUUGACCUCGGAUCAGGUAGGAAUACCCGCUGAACUUAAGCAUAUCAAUAAGCGGAGGA
rnacentral:misc_RNA from 1 species